rnacentral:tRNA from 1 species
UCCCUAAUGGUCCAGUGGUUAAGAAUCUGCCUUGCAAUGCAGGGUAUGCAGGUUCGAUCCCUGCUUGGAGAA